CGCGUAGGCGGCAAGGCAAGUCAAAUGUGAAAUCCCCGGGCUCAACCUGGGAAUUGCAUCUGAAACUGCAGUGCUUGAGUCCUGGAGGGGAUAGUGGAAUUCCCAGUGUAGCGGUGAAAUGCGUAGAUAUUGGGAGGAACACCUGCGGCGAAGGCGGCUAUCUGGACAGUGACUGACGCUGAUGCGCGAAAGCCAGGGGAGCGAACGG
rnacentral:rRNA from 1 species